AUCGUGACCUGGGCCGAAGUCGGACGCUCAACCUACGGAAGCACCCAGGACCAGCUGCACCGGCUCUUGUGGGCGCCCCAGAGAGCAGGACAAGAAGGUUCCGGGUCGUGGUCCAAAGGACAUCCCCGAACGUGACAUUUAGGACGAUCCAUUUCUCCGACGACGACUUCUCCAAGUGCAUACGUAAUAAAUAAAUAGAAAACACAUCUUUGUUCGUGGCAACACCUAUGAGAAAUGUUUACGAACAAAACAUCUAAUUCCCGAAAAAGGACCAGCCGUUUCGGCGACAGGAAAGAGACCAGCAUUUCAGGGGAGUGUGGCUCGCCCCAGAGGGCCUAACUCAUUUGGACGCCGACAGACAGAACCGUGGGAGCGAUUUUCCAGGCGGUGAGAAAACGUGUGCCACCAAGAGCACGCCGGGCCCCUGGCUCUUGCUGGCCGGCGUCGGAGGGAGAGUGCGCGCAUGGACCCUGAGCUGCUGGGUGUGUGUGCAACUCUGAGCAUUUUCAGACAGAUACGCUCUCUGAAACCAACCGAACCAAAGACUGUCCAUACUCCCGGCCACCGGAAGCGACCCCACCCUAGCUGGUUCACAGUGUGAGACCCUCGCGUCGACAGAGUUUGAAAAACUCAACAGAACUGCAGACGGGGACAUGAGGUCACGACUCCCCUCCCCACCCGUCGCCGGGAAUCUGCGUGGAAGAGGUUUCUCCCGGGAGCACGGCCCCUGCCGUGUCCCACCUUCGCCUCCCAGCAGCUGGACGGACCGUGCUCCGGGAAACCGCUCUGGCGGUCGGCUCAGCCUGGGGAGGGGACCCCUCCCGAGGGCCGCGGCUGCAGAGGAGGCAGAGAAGGCCGUCUUCGAAAGAAGAGUUGCGAAGAGUGUGUGGUUGGCGCAGGAAAGGGGGAGAUGCAGCUCGGCGUGACCCUGGGGCCCCCCGGGAGAGUGUGAACCCCAGAAGGGGUCCCCUCCCUCAGGAGCUCUCUGAGCUCCCUGCAGGGCGGAGGGUGGGCGAGGCAGACAGCUCAGGGGUCAGCGGGUAGCUGCGAGCCCCCGACCCCAGCAGCCUAGCCGGCUCACCCAAAGCGUUGACGCAAGCCCGCCACUGUGCCCUGGGCCGCACCUGUGCACCUGCGCUCGGGUAGCACCAGCGGGACGGCCGUGGCCACCAGGACAAGCGGGGGCCGCAGGGCCGCCCCAACCCGCGGGGCGGGCAGCGGGCCUGGAGGGAAACAGCCAUCGGCCAAUUCUCUCUAUUCUGAUGACUCUUUCAGGGGACUCAUCCCCAUUCAGCGCCCGGGGCCGGUUGUUGAGGCAAUGUGGUGUGGCGGCACGUGCUGGGCGGGGGCCCCCGCCUGGCCGCGUGGUUCUAACCCAUCUCGGGGUCUCACACGCCCCCUCCGUGAAAGGAGGGUCUUGGACUGGACGUACCCUAAGGUCCUCUCCGACUCUGAAACCUCGGGCUCCUGAGGUGAGAGCACGUUCCCGGGUCUCGGGAUAAAGAACAAAUGAGGCCCCAGGUAGGAGCUCACUUCCCUCGACUUGGUCCAGCCCGCCCUGGGGCCAGGCGGUGCUCAGUGCCCUGGGCACCUCGGGCCGGCCCGGCCCCCCCCCCCCCCUCCGGCACGUGCGGCCUCGCUGGGUGGGCCAGCAAGCUUCAGGCACAGGGUGACCCAGCGGUCAGCAGCUUCAGCAGGUGGGAGCACCUCCGAGCUACUGGGAGGGGGGUGCUGCCCGAGCCCGCCCUGCAAGGUGCCCACCCCCUUCCUCCUCCUGCAGGCCGUGUCCUGACCCACCCGAGCACGCGGGAUCCUGGCCCGGUCUUCUUCUGAGCCCGCCCGCCCUGCAGCCUGCGAGCCCGGACCCCAGGCCGGACCUCCCGCAGCUCCGCCCUCACGGCCCAGGGCGCCCAGCCACACGGCACCCUCGCGUCUGCCGCUGGCUCCCGCGUGCAGUGUGGUCUCAGAACGCAGAGGGCCUCUAAAAGUCACCUCGUGUCCUCCCCCCCAUCCCGGGACCCGAGGCCUCCUGAACGGUCGGGCGAACCCUCCAGAGGCAGGGCUCGCCCGUCCCCCGAGGGGAGAUGGUCCCGUCCUGGCCGGCUGCAUCUACACGCCGGCUCCCGACCCCUUGAAGGUUGGUGUCUGCUCACGGCUCCCUUUCCCCCGUAUCGACCAGCCUGCCGUGCGCGCUGGAGAGCGCGGGGUCUGUGAACGGCUGGGUCAGGGCUCCUGCCGCCCGUGCAGCUCGGGUCUCCUUGCGUGGCCCCCGCGCCCCCCCCCACUGAAGAGGCACAGGUAGGAGAGAAGCACCCAAGAGGCUGCAGGAAGGAAGGUUCCCAGCACGGUCGGCUGCCCCCCGGGGGCCGCAGGGGGACGCUGGAGUGGGGGCGGGUGGCCGCGCCAGGGUCUCUGAUACCCUCCCCCCGGCCCGUCAGGGCUGCCCCCCGCCCUUCCCAGGGGCAGCCAGCCGCCCCGCCUGGCCCGCGGCCAAGAGUCCACCGUCCUGGUCCACUGCGGAGCGACACGAGGUGGCUGGCGUCCUCACAGUUUGUUCUUCCUCACCACAGGGAUGGGCACCACUUGGAAGAUUUUGGCCCCGUGGUCCUCGGUGUCCAGAGUCACCCAGGUGGGCCGGAAGCUCCCUUUGAAGCCAACGAACGCCAUUUUCUCUGGAAAGCAGGGCCAGUGAGGCCCUGCCCCUCUCUGAAGCCCAGCAUCCCCUGUCAGCCAGUCACACGAGGGAUGACGCUCGGCUACAGGACCUCUCCCGGCUCCAGCGUGCCAUGGCUUUGGAAGGACUCCGUCCAAGGGUUCAGAGUCGUCAGAGGCGCGGGCAGACCUCGAACGCGCCCUCGGUGCCCCCAGACCGGACGCGAUGGGGUGGGGGGGGCGCGCACAGACUCACUUGUCGGGGAUGGCUGCCACGUGACUGAACAGCUGCCACGGGACGCCCUGCAGCAUGGUGCUGCUGAAGCUCGUGUGGCUCACCACGUGCCCGCGGCUGCCAUCGAUCGCCACCAUCUGGAUGCCGUCCUCGGAGCUGGGGAUGGCCAGAGAACAAGUUUCUUCUAUUGCAGGCUACCCUGGCUUGUGGUCAUCGGUGACAACAGCCCCAGGACAUAACACCGCCUCCCCCUGCGGCCAAGCAGCGCCCCUGCAGGGGCCGGAACCACUCACUUCAAUGUAAGCCACGUCGCUCAGGAGGUGAAAGAAACGCUGCCUGGAACUCUCUAUCUUCACCUCCAGGAAGCGGUCCUUUGUCUUCUGGAAAGCAAGGCCUUGAUCCUGAUUCGCUCGCAGCCUCUCACGGAGCAGAAGGCGAACCUCUCCCUCUCGUUCUGGGCUCUCAGCUUCAGGAACAACAGCCUGCGUGCGGGGGCCACGGCCGGGCUCGCUCAGGCGUUCGCCACCCUCCUCCCCCUCUGUCUUCACGUCACCCCCCAAGCCCCGCGGUGAGACCCACGGGCCUUACGAGAUGGCCACCAGCCCGUGUCUGCCACGGGGUCACGUGUGGUCCGAGAGAGAAACGAGCACCCGGGCGUCAAAGCUCGCAACGCCAACCGGGACCGUUUUCUGGGCACGUGCCCUAUGCCACGCUCCGCGCAGGCCGUGAGUGGACACGCCAUCUCGCUGGAGCCUCAGACGGUCCCGCCCAGUAGGUGCCGUCACCGCCCUGCUUUCUCGGACUCCGAGCAGCUGAGUGACCCGGGACCACAUGGGAGGACGGUCACAGAGCCGGGCCACCCCGUCACUGAGCCUGAAACAACCUUCCAGGCUGACUCCCACGCCUGCAGCAUUGGAAAGGCUGUUCCCGUGCCGACCCCGCUCUGGGAAGCACCUGCGCGCGGACGGCCCGGCGAGCUGGGCUCGCGCCAUGAUGCCACGACCUCCACCCACCGCCGCACAGCCGGUCGUGCCAGGGAAGCACCUGGACGCGCAGAGGGGCCGAUCGAGACUUCAGACGGGCCCCAGGGAGGGGACCAGACAGCUCCCUAUUCUCCGCAGACACUCCAUCACUGUUAUCCCUCCACUGAGCAGCGCCUAGUGACG